GACAGAGGGUGCAAACGUUGCUCGGAAUUACUGGGCGUAAAGCGCGUGUAGGCGGGUCGGAAAGUCGGGCGUGAAAGCCCCAGGCUCAACCUGGGAACUGCACUCGAAACUUCCGGUCUAGAGUGGUGGAGAGGGAAGUGGAAUUCCUGGUGUAGAGGUGAAAUUCGUAGAUAUCAGGAGGAACACCAGUGGCGAAGGCGGCUUCCUGGACACCAACUGACGCUGAGACGCGAAAGCGUGGGGAGCAAACAGG
rnacentral:rRNA from 1 species